CUGGACUGCCUUCUGUUUGAAGACUGGUUGAUCUUCAGUCCACCUUUACUCCGAGGGUCCAGUCCCACUCUUGGCAGACUCUGGACUCCAACAUCUGUUUGCAUAGCCCCAUGAAGCCAUCCAAAGCCCAUGUGAGCCACUAGGAUCAAAAGGCUGCUGACUCUUUACCACAUCACUACUGCCACAGUUAGGAAGCCACCAAGACAAGGAAGGAAUCCAUCCAUAAUCAGAAACCUACCACCCUCAGAAGCCACAUCCGCUGUUGCCUGCUCCAGACCCCACUGUGCCUGCGAAGAUUUUCAGCUUCAAAGUGGAUGCCACGUGCCCUGCUCUCAGCACCUCAGAGCCAGCGACCAGAGCCCAAGACCUCAGCUAAUGCUGCCCAGAAACCUGAAUAUCUCCCCUGCUGGGCUUGGCAGCAAGAGCAGCAGAUGCCUGGUCCCUGCUGCAAUUCCCCCACAUUAGAGUGACUGAAUCUGCACCACAUCCUGACUCUGGUUGUAAAGGAGUCUGGGAAAUGUAGUUUUUAGCUUUCCUGUUUCUGUAGUAUAGGAAGGCACAGCAGAAAGCAGAUGAGGCAGUUGCCCUAAAUGAGGUGA
rnacentral:lncRNA from 10 species